rnacentral:rRNA from 1 species
CCUACGGGGGGCAGCAGUGGGGAAUAUUGCACAAUGGGGGAAACCCUGAUGCAGCGACGCCGCGUGAGUGAAGAAGCGCCUCGGCGCGUAAAGCUCUGUCAGCAGGAACGAUAAUGACGGUACCUGAAGAAGAAGCCCCGGCUAACUACGUGCCAGCAGCCGCGGUAAUACGUAGGGGGCAAGCGUUAUCCGGAUUUACUGGGUGUAAAGGGAGCGUAGACGGCGGGGCAAGUCUGGAGUGAAAGGCCGGGGCCCAACCCCGGGACCGCUCUGGAAACUGCCCGGCUGGAGUGCGGGAGAGGUAA